rnacentral:rRNA from 1 species
AUUGAACGCUGGCGGCAGGCCUAACACAUGCAAGUCGAGCGGAUGAAGGGAGCUUGCUCCUGGAUUCAGCGGCGGACGGGUGAGUAAUGCCUAGGAAUCUGCCUGGUAGUGGGGGAUAACGUCCGGGAACGGGCGCUAAUACCGCAUACGUCCUGAGGGAGAAAGUGGGGGCUCUUCGGACCUCACGCUAUCAGAUGAGCCUAGGUCGGAUUAGCUAGUUGGUGGGGUAAAGGCCUACCAAGGCGACGAUCCGUAACUGGUCUGAGAGGAUGAUCAGUCACACUGGAACUGAGACACGGUCCAGACUCCUACGGGAGGCAGCAGUGGGGAAUAUUGGACAAUGGGCGAAAGCCUGAUACAGCCAUGCCGCGUGUGUGAAGAAGGUCUUCGGAUUGUAAAGCACUUUAAGUUGGGAGGAAGGGCAGUAAGUUAAUACCUUGCUGUUUUGACGUUACCAACAGAAUAAGCACCGGCUAACUUCGUG